AGAGUUGAUCCUGGCUCAGGAUGAACGCUAGCGACAGGCUAACACAUGCAAGUCGAGGGGCAGCAUAAAAGUAGCAAUACUUGGUGGCGACCGGCGCACGGGUGAGUAACGCGUAUGCAACCUACCUAUCAGAGGGGAAUAACCCGGCGAAAGUCGGACUAAUACCGCAUAAAACAGGGACACCGCAUGGUGAUAUUUGUUAAAGAAAUUCGCUGAUAGAUGGGCAUGCGUUCCAUUAGGUAGUUGGUGAGGUAACGGCUCACCAAGCCGACGAUGGAUAGGGGAACUGAGAGGUUGGUCCCCCACACUGGUACUGAGACACGGACCAGACUCCUACGGGAGGCAGCAGUGAGGAAUAUUGGUCAAUGGGCGAGAGCCUGAACCAGCCAAGUCGCGUGAAGGAAGAAGGAUCUAUGGUUCGUAAACUUCUUUUGCAGGGGAAUAAAGUGCAGGACGUGUCCUGUUUUGUAUGUACCCUGAGAAUAAGGAUCGGCUAACUCCGUGCCAGCCGCCGC
rnacentral:rRNA from 1 species